UUAAGCGACUAAGCGUACACGGUGGAUGCCCUGGCAGUCAGAGGCGAUGAAGGACGUGCUAAUCUGCGAUAAGCGUCGGUAAGGUGAUAUGAACCGUUAUAACCGGCGAUUUCCGAAUGGGGAAACCCAGUGUGUUUCGACACACUAUCAUUAACUGAAUCCAUAGGUUAAUGAGGCGAACCGGGGGAACUGAAACAUCUAAGUACCCCGAGGAAAAGAAAUCAACCGAGAUUCCCCCAGUAGCGGCGAGCGAACGGGGAGGAGCCCAGAGCCUGAAUCAGUGUGUGUGUUAGUGGAAGCGUCUGGAAAGGCGCGCGAUACAGGGUGACAGCCCCGUACACAAAAAUGCACAUGCUGUGAGCUCGAUGAGUAGGGCGGGACACGUGGUAUCCUGUCUGAAUAUGGGGGGACCAUCCUCCAAGGCUAAAUACUCCUGACUGACCGAUAGUGAACCAGUACCGUGAGGGAAAGGCGAAAAGAACCCCGGCGAGGGGAGUGAAAAAGAACCUGAAACCGUGUACGUACAAGCAGUGGGAGCACGCUUCGGCGUGUGACUGCGUACCUUUUGUAUAAUGGGUCAGCGACUUAUAUUCUGUAGCAAGGUUAACCGAAUAGGGGAGCCGAAGGGAAACCGAGUCUUAACUGGGCGUUAAGUUGCAGGGUAUAGACCCGAAACCCGGUGAUCUAGCCAUGGGCAGGUUGAAGGUUGGGUAACACUAACUGGAGGACCGAACCGACUAAUGUUGAAAAAUUAGCGGAUGACUUGUGGCUGGGGGUGAAAGGCCAAUCAAACCGGGAGAUAGCUGGUUCUCCCCGAAAGCUAUUUAGGUAGCGCCUCGUGAAUUCAUCUCCGGGGGUAGAGCACUGUUUCGGCAAGGGGGUCAUCCCGACUUACCAACCCGAUGCAAACUGCGAAUACCGGAGAAUGUUAUCACGGGAGACACACGGCGGGUGCUAACGUCCGUCGUGAAGAGGGAAACAACCCAGACCGCCAGCUAAGGUCCCAAAGUCAUGGUUAAGUGGGAAACGAUGUGGGAAGGCCCAGACAGCCAGGAUGUUGGCUUAGAAGCAGCCAUCAUUUAAAGAAAGCGUAAUAGCUCACUGGUCGAGUCGGCCUGCGCGGAAGAUGUAACGGGGCUAAACCAUGCACCGAAGCUGCGGCAGCGACGCUUAUGCGUUGUUGGGUAGGGGAGCGUUCUGUAAGCCUGUGAAGGUGUGCUGUGAGGCAUGCUGGAGGUAUCAGAAGUGCGAAUGCUGACAUAAGUAACGAUAAAGCGGGUGAAAAGCCCGCUCGCCGGAAGACCAAGGGUUCCUGUCCAACGUUAAUCGGGGCAGGGUGAGUCGACCCCUAAGGCGAGGCCGAAAGGCGUAGUCGAUGGGAAACAGGUUAAUAUUCCUGUACUUGGUGUUACUGCGAAGGGGGGACGGAGAAGGCUAUGUUGGCCGGGCGACGGUUGUCCCGGUUUAAGCGUGUAGGCUGGUUUUCCAGGCAAAUCCGGAAAAUCAAGGCUGAGGCGUGAUGACGAGGCACUACGGUGCUGAAGCAACAAAUGCCCUGCUUCCAGGAAAAGCCUCUAAGCAUCAGGUAACAUCAAAUCGUACCCCAAACCGACACAGGUGGUCAGGUAGAGAAUACCAAGGCGCUUGAGAGAACUCGGGUGAAGGAACUAGGCAAAAUGGUGCCGUAACUUCGGGAGAAGGCACGCUGAUAUGUAGGUGAAGCGACUUGCUCGUGGAGCUGAAAUCAGUCGAAGAUACCAGCUGGCUGCAACUGUUUAUUAAAAACACAGCACUGUGCAAACACGAAAGUGGACGUAUACGGUGUGACGCCUGCCCGGUGCCGGAAGGUUAAUUGAUGGGGUCAGCGCAAGCGAAGCUCUUGAUCGAAGCCCCGGUAAACGGCGGCCGUAACUAUAACGGUCCUAAGGUAGCGAAAUUCCUUGUCGGGUAAGUUCCGACCUGCACGAAUGGCGUAAUGAUGGCCAGGCUGUCUCCACCCGAGACUCAGUGAAAUUGAACUCGCUGUGAAGAUGCAGUGUACCCGCGGCAAGACGGAAAGACCCCGUGAACCUUUACUAUAGCUUGACACUGAACAUUGAGCCUUGAUGUGUAGGAUAGGUGGGAGGCUUUGAAGUGUGGACGCCAGUCUGCAUGGAGCCGACCUUGAAAUACCACCCUUUAAUGUUUGAUGUUCUAACGUUGACCCCUAAUCGGGGUUGCGGACAGUGUCUGGUGGGUAGUUUGACUGGGGCGGUCUCCUCCUAAAGAGUAACGGAGGAGCACGAAGGUUGGCUAAUCCUGGUCGGACAUCAGGAGGUUAGUGCAAUGGCAUAAGCCAGCUUGACUGCGAGCGUGACGGCGCGAGCAGGUGCGAAAGCAGGUCAUAGUGAUCCGGUGGUUCUGAAUGGAAGGGCCAUCGCUCAACGGAUAAAAGGUACUCCGGGGAUAACAGGCUGAUACCGCCCAAGAGUUCAUAUCGACGGCGGUGUUUGGCACCUCGAUGUCGGCUCAUCACAUCCUGGGGCUGAAGUAGGUCCCAAGGGUAUGGCUGUUCGCCAUUUAAAGUGGUACGCGAGCUGGGUUUAGAACGUCGUGAGACAGUUCGGUCCCUAUCUGCCGUGGGCGCUGGAGAACUGAGGGGGGCUGCUCCUAGUACGAGAGGACCGGAGUGGACGCAUCACUGGUGUUCGGGUUGUCAUGCCAAUGGCACUGCCCGGUAGCUAAAUGCGGAAGAGAUAAGUGCUGAAAGCAUCUAAGCACGAAACUUGCCCCGAGAUGAGUUCUCCCUGACUCCUUGAGAGUCCUGAAGGAACGUUGAAGACGACGACGUUGAUAGGCCGGGUGUGUAAGCGCAGCGAUGCGUUGAGCUAACCGGUACUAAUGAACCGUGAGGCUUAACCUU
rnacentral:rRNA from 1 species